rnacentral:rRNA from 1 species
GUGGGGAAUAUUGGACAAUGGGCGCAAGCCUGAUCCAGCCAUGCCGCGUGAGUGAUGAAGGCCUUAGGGUUGUAAAGCUCUUUCAGUGGGGACGAUAAUGACGGUACCCACAGAAGAAGCCCCGGCUAACUUCGUGCCAGCAGCCGCGGUAAUACGAAGGGGGCUAGCGUUGCUCGGAAUUACUGGGCGUAAAGGGCGCGUAGGCGGACAGUUUAGUCAGAGGUGAAAGCCCAGGGCUCAACCUUGGAAUUGCCUUUGAAACUCCUGGUCUUGAGGUCGAGAGAGGUGAGUGGAAUUCCGAGUGUAGAGGUGAAAUUCGUAGAUAUUCGGAGGAACACCAGUGGCGAAGGCGGCUCACUGGCUCGAUACUGACGCUGAGGUGCGAAAGCGUGGGGAGCAAACAGGAUUAGAUACCCGAGUAGUCC